AAGAGAGUGUGGAGAUUUCACUAAUCAGUGGAUGGAAACUUCUGGAAGGCUUUUAACCUUGGAGGAUGGCUUCGUGUCCUUAACCUCGACCAUCUUAAAGCAUCAAGGCACCAAUGAACUGUCAGAAGCUGGAUGUUGCUGAGGAAGGAGAGAAAUGUCUAACACGCUGGCUCAAAGCAGUGGGUCUCAACCUGUGGGUCAUGACUCCAUUGGGAUUCACCCACCAGAUUUCCUGAAUAUCAGAUCCUGCCAGGUUGUUCCCAGUAAAGGAAAGGAAACAAGAGUCAGAAUUUCACAACGUGGGACUCGGGAAGCCAAGUGCUCUAAAGCAGUCUGGUGUGAGAAUCCUGCUCUACGUGUCUACACAGCAGAUGAUGAGUAACCUCCGUGCAGGCUAGCUUUCGAUAACAGAUAACCGCCUUCCCCUGACACCAGAUCAGUGACUCACACACCUGGUGUCUCCUCAGUGUUCAGAUGCAUUACUGGAUCGUCCCUUGAAAUGUCCUUACUGAACAGGCAGCAAAAAGC
rnacentral:lncRNA from 1 species